rnacentral:lncRNA from 1 species
GUUCUAUCAACUAUCAGACAGGGGACUGGGAAAAACAAAAGAACAUUUCUCUUUUUUUGAAGGGUGUUUUGGUAAAUAAUGAUCUAUUCGGUGCUGGAUCACAUGCUGUGUGCCCAACAGAGCUAGACAGUGAGGAGGUGGUGGAAACCUAGAAUCCUUGCCUUCCUGGAGCUCUGGUCAGUAGCUGAUGAAAGACAAUGCUGCCUCCCUUAAUCUCUGUGUUCACACACUAGUUUAUAAAGAGAAGAACUUAUUUUUCAUUGUUCCAUAGGAUAGGAAGGCCAAGAAUGAGAUGCCAAAGGUCUCUGAUUCUGAUUCCAAGAUGGUGCCUUAUGGCGGUGUCUCUGGAGCCUAAUACGGCAGAAGAACAGGAAAGAUAGUCCACUCCUACGGGCCUCUUGAUGGCAGAAGUAGCUCAUUCAUUAGAGUGGAAUGCUAUGACCUAAAAACAUCUCAUUAGGCCAGUCCUGGUGCACUGAGGAUUAGCUUUUCAAUCCAUGAAUUGGAGUAACCUAGCUACCUACAGCAAUGCUCGUGGCAGGAAGUACAGGCAGAGUGGCAGGCUCAGCAUGACUUCUGACCCUGGAGAAGGACAUAUAUCUAUUUUCAAGCCCACAAGGAAGGAUUCCCCCAGACUUUCCCCGUUGUGCUCUAUGGUAAGUAUAAGACCCUGGCAGGACACUAGGUGAGCACUUGGUGUUCUCCCAUUGAGCCCCCUGAUCUUCUGGAUGUGUGGAACUUGCUUUUGUUAUAUUAAAGCAUGGGGGUAGGCAUAUCUCCCACUGAAUUCUAAAAUUCUGUAAUUCCAUCACAGCGUAAUCCUGAGGACCUUUCAGUAGUGACACACUGACAUUUGUAGCAGGCUUGGAAAAGGCAUUUUGGUUUCUAUUUCUAUCACACGCAAAAUGGUCUGUUCCUACGUUAGCUCUAGACCUUCUUUGCUAAAUGCCCAGAGAGAGAGAAACAAAAGGACAGGGAGGGAAAGAUUGCCUCAGACACUCAAGAAUCUCCAAAUCCCUCACUAGAUGAAAAGCAAAUUAAGGAUCCUUGACAGGUUAAAAUCAAGUACCUGGGGUGUCUCUACUGGAGCAAAUGAAUUUUCAGUUUAAUAACUUCCUUACAAUUCCCUUGAUCACUCUCUUCUGUGAUCCUUUCGAUGGCAUAAGCUUAUUUCUGGUUUGUGUCAUGAGUUUUAAAUAUGCCAGUGGCUUUUAAUUAAAUCCUUGUUUAUUAUGCAGUUAAUGGGCUAAGACUAAUGACCAAAGGGAAAAAAACAAGCUUUCAGUCAUAUGAUACUUGAGAAAAAUAAUAAAGUGGUUUAUUCAAGGGUGAGCCA